rnacentral:rRNA from 1 species
CCUACGGGUCGCAGCAGUGAGGAAUAUUGGUCAAUGGACGAGAGUCUGAACCAGCCAAGUAGCGUGAAGGAUGACUGCCCUAUGGGUUGUAAACUUCUUUUAUAUGGGAAUAAAACGUUCCACGUGUGGGAUUUUGUAUGUACCAUAUGAAUAAGGAUCGGCUAACUCCGUGCCAGCAGCCGCGGUAAUACGGAGGAUCCGAGCGUUAGCCGGAUUUAUUGGGUUUAAAGGGAACGUAGGUGGAUUGUUAAGUCAGUUGUGAAAGUUUGCGGCUCAACCGUAAAAUUGCAGUUGAAACUGGCAGUCUUGAGUACAGUAGAGGUGGGCGGAAUUCGUGGUGUAGCGGUGAAAUGCUUAGAUAUCACGAAGAACUCCGAUUGCGAAGGCAGUUCACUGGACUGCAACUGACACUGAGGCUCGAAAGUGUGGGUAUCAAACAGGAUUAGAUACCCGUGUAGUC